rnacentral:rRNA from 1 species
AGCAGUAGCCGCGGUAAUACGUAGGUGGCAAGCGUUGUCCGGAAUUAUUGGGCGUAAAGCGCGCGCAGGCGGAUAGGUCAGUCUGUCUUAAAAGUUCGGGGCUUAACCCCGUGAUGGGAUGGAAACUGCCAAUCUAGAGUAUCGGAGAGGAAAGUGGAAUUCCUAGUGUAGCGGUGAAAUGCGUAGAUAUUAGGAAGAACACCAGUGGCGAAGGCGACUUUCUGGACGAAAACUGACGCUGAGGCGCGAAAGCCAGGGGAGCGAACGGGAUUAGAUACCCGCGUAGUCCCUGUCUCUUAUACA